rnacentral:lncRNA from 1 species
CAGAAACACAUGGAGUGGACUAUGAAUAUUCCUAUUAAAAUGUUCAAAUAUAAGAGUGGCAUGUGACCUAGUUUCCAAAUCAUUUUGUAAAUACUGCAUUGUUAGAGUGUUACGCUACUUGCAUCUCAAAUCCAGAGACUAACAGAACAGAUAUGGAAGCAGAGGUGCAAUAUAAGUCAAGGGAUGGUAUCUAAAGCAGAAUACAGUAGUAUCGAAUAUGGGGACAGAAGCCUGGUGGGGACUGAAGAUGGGUACUCAUACAGAGCGUGCAUGGCAGUGAGAGCCUGAGUAAGACAUACUCAAGUGCUUAUCUGUGCCAGGUUUAAGAGGCCCCAGAGCAUUACUACAACUUGAAAUUUAGUUAGCUUGUGAAGAAAUGCAGCACUGCUGUCAGCUCAGUGAGGGGGCUUGAUAAACAUGGCAGUAGAGCUUGCAGCAGACAUUCCCAAGCCAAGAAGAAAGCAGCCUCACUCACAAAGGGAAUUUCUGUUUUCAGCACAGGCUUCCAGCAAAAAGUCCCAAUGCAUUUAUAACCAGACCCUAAUUUUUAAAAAAUACAUGUGUCGGUGUACUGAAAAGGGGUGGGAGCUUCUGUGACAGAGGGGGUCUGGUGAAAAGGGAUAUAGUUAGAAUCUCACAACUUCAGAUUCAUUCCAGGAUUCAGAACAAAAUACAUUUUUCCUCUCCCCACCCCCAAUUAUCAUAUAUAAAUAUGGGAAAUCAAUUUGGAUCAGGCCUGGACUCAGCUAUCCUACAGCCAAGUUUUCUCUUGCAACGAGAGACUGUCUAAGGGGUGGAUCUGUCUGUCCUUGCCAGAAGGCAGGGAGGAACUGUCUCUCCGCAGCCUACCAUUCCCCCUCCCAGCCAAAACCCCACUUGGGCCCAAACACACACACGCACGCACACACACACACACACACACACACACAGAGAGAGAGAGAGAGAGAGAGAGAGAGAGAGAGAGAGAGAGAGAGAGAGAGAGAAAUCAUGGUGAAAGCUGUGUUUCUCCCUUGCCAAGCUCCUUGUUGUCCAGUUAUAUUAAUUGCCAGAAAGGGACCGGAAAUGGAUCUGUGGGGGAGGAGAAGCAGAAAGAGGCAGUGCUGUAUUUUCCCUUCAAUGUUUGGCUUCCCGCAACAUUCCACAGGACAAGCUUAAAGCUCACUGCCAGAAAUGCUGUUCCAUCCUCACCCCACAAGCUGCUGCUGGAGCCUUCUUGGAUCAUAGCCAGAGGGACAUCCUUCCCCUAUCAAAUUAAAAUACCCUGCUAGAACUCCAUCCUACACUUGCAAGCCAGUUGUCAGUCUUGAUGGAGCCCAGCCUUCAAGUUCCUUCCCAACCAAGCUGGGGGAGAGUGGCAGAUUUAUCUUUUCCAACAAAGCAAAAGGCCUCCGGGACCCUUUGAAGCGAGCAGAGGGGCCCAGGCAGAGGGCAGCUGGCUGGAGAACAGAUCCUGCUGGAGUACCCCCUGCAUAUUCUUCUCAUCCAGAUCACAAAGAAUUCCUCUCUUCAAAAGGCCCUUGUCCUAUAUUCAAAUAACCAUCACCCAGAACAAUAAGAAAUGAGUAACAAUGAUCUUUAAUUUUUGUUUUGUUUAUUAAACACACUGCAAUAAAUUUGCUGGUGUCAGAGAAUGGUUUGUCUUC